UAUAUUCGUACAGUCAAAAUAUCAUGAAAGUAUUAUUUCUUUUCUAUACUUAUGGACGUUAUAUCGUACAUAUGAUUCAGUACGUCUCGGCCUAUAGGCGAUGUACUUAAACCGUAAACGAUAGAGAACAGACUGACUAAGUGUUGAAGUAGAAAUAGAAAAGAAGAGGUGUAAAAAAUAUUGCUGGUCAAAGAACUUUUACUUUUUCUUUCAUUUCUGUGACAUAUGUAUUGUGAAGCGAAGGAUAUGUCCACGCGUUCUCAAUUGCUUGCAUCGUUGCCACGUCCACAUUACAAUAUGAGCCCAAAUUGCAAAACUAAAAACUAUAUAUGUAUCUAAAAUAGUUUUUGUUAUCAAUUUUACUAUUUUAAAUGCAUUUAAUCUAUGUGAAUUAAAAUAUGCUAUUAGUAUAGUUGAGUAAGUUGGAAAAAAUGUAAAUGAUUCUAUUUUAUAAUUUUUAUUUUAAACCUGAAGAGUUGUUACAGGUAGAGAUAUCACUGUUUACGCUUAAACGUAGCGAGGAAUCAUAUAACAGGCUCAAGUUUAUGCAGCUAUACAUAUAUGCCAAUGAAUAACCUUGGAGCUUCAAUCAACUUGCUUACUUCUACAAAGCGAGAAAUUCAAUGAUUUUCAAAAACGAAUACCAUCGAUUAAAAAUCCUCAAGCUUUGACAACGUGAUACCAUAAUUUAGAUAAUAUUCAAAGCUCGCACCAUGAAUACAUAUGGAUCGUGUAUUUUAGGUAAUAACGAUGUAUAUGACGCGUAACCGUAUAUAGAUAGGAAAACAUUCACUGUUCUGCGCCAUGAGCGAUCAUUUCAAAUCUACGGAAAUUCGUGGGUGGAUGGUUAUAUACGCUAAACAGAUUGCCGGUUUAUUUAAACGACGGUGUGUAACGAAAUACGAUGAUGUGUUUGGGAUGAUUCCAAUUUAGCAACCUAGUUUUUUCCCUCGUGUAUCCAAGUGGCGCGCUUUUUUUUCAAGAAAUAAACUGGGUCACACGAUGGCAGCGAAGUGUGCGUAUACACGUGUCCAUCGACGAAGAGAAUCGGACGAGUGAACAAGCACGAAAGCAACGUGCUAGAAUAUAAGUUGCAAAGGUGGCGGAUGUAGACGCAUACAAGCAGUGGUAGAGAGGUAUAACGACCUUUGCGGCUCACAGUGAACGUGCGGAAAUCAUUUGUAUAAAAUUUCUAAUCGCAAAGUUCGCGCUAUUGUUAGUCGGUACGCGACGCACGAUCAGGAAAUAAAAUGGCAACAGGAGGAGCGUGAGAACUCACGUAGAGAGAAACGAUUUGUAGGUGGAAAGAACUCCCACAACGUUUCAGCAAUUACAUAUCUCGGAUAAGUUGCAUAGUUGCAUGCAUGUUUCAUAUUGCUUAAUAACAAAGAAUGACGAGUGUUUUAUAGCACAAUCAAACCGGAAACUCGACUAGCAAUUAAUUUCACCGAACUGCUGAUACGACACUAGCAAGAACGAGCAUGUCGAGACUAGAGGACCAGAAAAGCGAAGUGAAAGAAGAGUACGUUUAGUAAGGGAGUAAUUAGCGACUCUCUAGAUAGAAACGAUACGCGUCCCGAUAGCUCGUGAGCCAUAGUACGGACAAAACGGGCGAAUGAGAAGAACUUAACGACACAGCCGUUCAUUCAGACUAUAUGUAUCUUGGGAUACAUCGUAUUUGGUAUUCGUACGUCCCUGAUCGUUCCGAUCUAUAUCUACCGAUCCUAAAAAUAUUUAUAAACGGUAAAAUAUAAUACGAGCAAUAAGGUACUGUUAUCGAGUGCCGAACGACUGUCCAUUUUAGUACAUUUAUUUGGCUUUCCAAUUAUGCAUAUACUUGCAGUCAGAUAAAUAAUUCACCUUUUAAAAAUAUGAAAAUCGCGGUAGACUGGUAAAGGCCAAGGGAAGGAAAGCAACGAAGGACAGAAGCGACUAAAGGAAGCUUCGAAGCGAGCCUGCGCCGUCUAACCGACACGUAUAAAUAAAGAGUUGGAUACCUGCGAGGUUGCCAGAUCUCAGUAAUAUUGAUCCACGAACCCGACACAGCCGUCAGCCGGGGGUCAUACAGAGACACGUGGCAACAUCGGCCUGUUCCCAGCUGAUCGAGCUCUACUCACGUCUGCUCGACGGUCGACCGUGUCUCUCCGUUCCUUGGAGUUCUCUCGCUUCCGCAGGAGUCCUCCCUCUUUCUCUCAUAACUAGCAACCGGCCACUUAUCGCCUUGCCUCAAAUCACAAGCCUUUCCUUUCUUACAUCGCUGCACUCAACCAUUCCACUUUAACUCGAAUAUGAAGCGAAUACUUCCUUCCACUUGUUAACUAUACACAGUUGCGAGCGAUAUUAUGCAAUAAAGAAAAGCGUUACGCGCCAAACGGACAAGUACACGUCGUGUUUGUUCGCAAGAAUAAAACAUAGGAGAACCUCUAACG